CAGCCGCCGCGGGAAUACAGAGGGUGCGAGCGUUAAUCGGAUUUACUGGGCGUAAAGCGUGCGUAGGCGGCUUCUUAAGUCGGAUGUGAAAUCCCUAAGCUUAACUUAGGAAUUGCAUUCGAUACUGGGAAGCUAGAGUAUGGGAGAGGAUGGUAGAAUUCCAGGUGUAGCGGUGAAAUGCGUAGAGAUCUGGAGGAAUACCGAUGGCGAAGGCAGCCAUCUGGCCUAACACUGACGCUGAGGUACGAAAGCAUGGGGAGCAAACAGGAUUAGAUACCCGUGUAGUCCCUGUCUCUUAUAC
rnacentral:rRNA from 1 species